rnacentral:rRNA from 1 species
CGCCCAGACUCCUAUGGGAGGCAGCAGUGGGGAAUAUUGCACAAUGGGGGAAACCCUGAUGCAGCGACGCCGCGUGAGCGAUGAAGUAUUUCGGUAUGUAAAGCUCUACCAGCAGGGAAGAAAAUGACGGUACCUGACUAAGAAGCCCCGGCUAACUACGUGCCAGCAGCCGCGGUAAUACGUAGGGGGCAAGCGUUAUCCGGAUUUACUGGGUGUAAAGGGAGCGUAGACGGCGAUGCAAGCCAGAUGUGAAAGCCCGGGGCUCAACCCCGGGACUGCAUUUGGAACUGUAUAGCUAGAGUGUCGGAGAGGCAGGCGGAAUUCCUAGUGUAGCGGUGAAAUGCGUAGAUAUUAGGAGGAACACCAGUGGCGAAGGCGGCCUGCUGGACGAUGACUGACGUUGAGGCUCGAAAGCGUGGGGAGCAAACAGGAUUAGAUACCCCCGUAU